CUACGUGCCAGCAGCCGCGGUAAUACGGAAGGUCCAGGCGUUAUCCGGAUUUAUUGGGUUUAAAGGGAGCGUAGGCUGGAGAUUAAGUGUGUUGUGAAAUGUAGACGCUCAACGUCUGAAUUGCAGCGCAUACUGGUUUCCUUGAGUACGCACAACGUUGGCGGAAUUCGUCGUGUAGCGGUGAAAUGCUUAGAUAUGACGAAGAACUCUGAUUGCGAAGGCAGCUGACGGGAGCGCAACUGACGCUGAAGCUCGAAGGUGCGGGUAUCGAACAGGAUUAGAUACCCUGGUAGUCCGCACAGUAAACGAUGGAUGCCCGCUGUUGGUACCUGGUAUCAGCGGCUAAGCGAAAGCAUUAAGCAUCCCACCUGGGGAGUACGCCGGCAACGGUGAAACUCAAAGGAAUUGACGGGGGCCCGCACAAGCGGAGGAACAUGUGGUUUAAUUCGAUGAUACGCGAGGAACCUUACCCGGGCUUGAA
rnacentral:rRNA from 1 species